UACGGUGGUUGUUAGCGUCAUUCGGAAUCAUUGGGCGUAAAGGGCGCGUAGGCGGUCUUUUAAGUCAGAUGUGAAAGCCCUCGGCUUAACAGAGGAAGUGCAUUUGAUACUAAGAGACUUGAGUGUGAGGGAGGGAAGCGGAAUUCCUGGUGUAGCGGUGAAAUGCGUAGAUAUCAGGAGGAACACCGGUGGCGAAGGCGGCUUCCUGGACCAAUUCUGACGCUGAGGCGCGAAGGCGUGGGGAGCAAACAGG
rnacentral:rRNA from 1 species